GGCGCUAAUUGUCAGUUGAUCGUAGUGUCAUGGCAAAUGUUUGACGUCAAGUUUUGUGAUAAACAUUUUACAAGUGUGUGAUUGAUAUCCUGUAUAAAACCGAGGGUCACAUGAAAGCGACAAAUAAACGUGGAACGGUCGAGUACUUAAGAUUGUUUGCUUGAGGCGGAAGCUGAGAGUACAAUUUCCCGCGCAUUCGGUAGCAAGCGUUGUAAACAAAAUGGCGGCGCGGCGGUUUGAAGCUUCGCGGGCAGGAAUGAAGUAAUCAGUUACGAAAGGAUAGUGAAACUUCAACGAUGCAGUUGCACAAGAAAAUAAUUGGACAGUGUUCAAAGUGAAGCAUAGCCACAAAGUGAGAUCAGCAGAUGGAAUUCGAUCUAAUCAAUCUGGAUCGAAAAAGGGAAUGCAGUUGGUGAUAGCAGGUGGAUGAAUCGCCUACACUGAUGCAGUGACAACGAAAUGUGACUCACCCACAACGGCGCCAUAGCUGAAGAACAACUGGUGAAAUUGCGAGGCGAAAGAAGUGAAGAGGCAACCGAGUGCUGUAACGAGGCCACCCAACACUGCGGAGGGUUCAGCAUUGCUGGAAUUCGAAUCGUGACCAUUCCUCAUCGUAGACGAGCCAACCACCAGUCCGCAGAGGUUGUCGACCUGUCCUACAAUUUUUUUAUUUCACCGUUUCUUUUGUGCGAACUUGUGGCUUUCCCUUCAGGACGCGCCUUCCACCUCGCGGUGUUCCAUUUACACGCGACUCUUGCCAGAGUUGACAGGAAAGAUUGCCGCUCGCCGUAUAUACGAGCGGACCUCACAGCCUAAUAUUUUAUUGUCGUCCCGCAAACGUGUUCUUUCACGCGCGAACCGGCGCGCCGGUUUCGAGAACCGGAACGACGUUAUCGCGUGGAAUCGCUCGACGACACGCUCCUACGGCCUUCUUGCCGCUCUUCUUCCCAUCGUCGUCCUCGAGAAGAUUCUUUCUCGAAUCUCCACCAAGACGAAGAGAGGUCCGAGGGGCAAGGACAUCUUCAGUCCUUCCAUCUUCUGGGUUACCUUCGCGGGUCCAGGGAGGAAUUGUCGUCGAGACGGGUGGAGGAGGAUAGAACGAAUAGGUUUGCACAUGGAGACAAGUGGAACACUGUCCUGGAAUUCUGAGACGAGGAACGUGUAGAAGGUGACUAUAGUGUUUCGAGGUCCACGAAGCAAUAAAAACACGGUAACAAGCAAUGGCGAUUUAAUUUUUCCAUUUAUGGCAUUGCAAGGUUCGCCAUAAUCAUAGCCCUCUGUAAAAUUGUCGUAAGUAAUAAAAUCUAAGUACACCUUAGGAAUAUACAAUUUUCAACAUUCGCGACGUAUCAGGUUUUCUCUGGUAGCUCAGUAUGUUCUUCGCUAACAUUCCCUAGUAUCAUAGACGGUGUUAUGAUUUUAUGACACAAUCGUCGGCGCUGGUAACAACGUUCUUCGUCAGAAAAAUAUCAAGGGCAGUAAAACGCGACGAGCCUUACCCGAGGAGGCGAUCGUGUUUCGCGAUGUCGUCUACACCAUUACGCUAAUAAAGCUCUAAUAUUCAAUUCUACCGCACGAGUAGCUUUACGAGCACGUUAAUUCUCCUUUUACUACGUUCUCCUCCAUUCUUUUCGUUCCUCUUCCGCCCAUCGACCAACUUUCCACCGUGUUCGGUUUCCUCGAAACUCAGUAGUAUAACCCAGUAAAUUCAGACGCUUAACGCGAUGAGUUUUCGAGAGACGAUGAUGCUCGUUUCGAACGGGCAACAUUCCGCUUGGAACACGAGACGACGAUCUAAAAUAAGCGGACAAUAAAGAAUCGGAUAAUCUGAAUAUACCCGUUGCGUCCUCGAUGCAAACGAGAUACGCGCUUGCUAAAAGGAGACGCGACCGAGCCGGAUAUCUGUAUCUCAGUUGUGACAUUCCGGCUUUGCGUGCUGGAACAUUGCUGCCAGCUCGCCGCUGAGAGUAACUCGUAAAUCUUUCUUAAUUUUCACCCCCGGUGAGCCGACUAUUUCGCUAAUUUCACUUCCAGUGGCCUGGUUACCCGACAACAAUGACGAAUGAAUCGCGAACGGUACGCUUGAAAAUCAGUCAACGUUUCCGAGCCGAGAGGAGGGUUUAAACGAUUAAGCGACGAAAUGUAUCAUUUUGCGAGUAAUGGGUUCAUGGAAAAUUGGACUGGGUAUAUUUUAAGUAAAGAAACAGUACAUAUAAUUAAAAA